rfam:Agrobacterium vitis S4 chromosome 1, complete sequence.
GGGUCCGCAGUUCACCCAGACAUCACCGCUCCUGCAAAGGAGAGCUAAACCUGCAU